UCCGUUAUGGUGUAGUGGCUAACAUUAUCGCCUCUCAUAUGUCCGACCACACUAUCGCAUCAGGGACGCGAUAGCCCAGGGUUCGAUUCCCUGUAACGGAA